rnacentral:rRNA from 1 species
UUCCUCGCCGCAAAAAGAAGGGUGCGGGUGUGUGCUCCCCCGCGGGCAGAAAGGAGGGAAAAAAAAACCCCCCCCCAUCACCUUUCUUAUCUUAAUUUUGUUCACCUAAACACCUUAUAUUUUUUAUGUUGUGGGGUAAGGGGGGGCCUCUCAUAACCCAGGGCCCCCCUCCUCUUGGGGGGGGCCCCCUAAAAACCCCCCCCCUUUACUCUUUUGUUUUUUUUAAGAAAGUGAACAAACGGGUUUUUUGCACCUUUUGGGGGGGGUUUUUUUGAGUGGGGGGUUUCCUUCCCCAAGCGUAACGGAGGGAGCCGAAAGUUUUGUUUAUUCCCUGUGCGUAUUUGGGAGGUUAUGUCCAAGGUAUAAACAAAGCUAAUUUCGGGAACAACCAAUUGAGCAGGUUCGAAAUAUGUUUAAUGUAUUCCGUUGUUUGAAAUGAAGGGCCCUUGCUUCACCGAUAAAAGGUAUUCCGGGGAUAACAGGGUGAUCCCGCCCCAGAAUUUCAUAUCGACGGCGGGUGUUGGCACCUCGAUGUCGGCUCAUCACAUCCUGGGGCUGAAGUAGGUCCCAAGGGUUAUGGCUGUUCGCCAUUUAAAGUGGUACGCGAGCUGGGUUUAGAACGUUCGUGAGACAGUUCGGUCCCUAUCUGCCGUGGGCGUAGGAGAAUUGAUUGGGGCUGCUCCUAGUACGAGAGGACCGGAGUGGACGCACCACUGGUGUUCCGGUUGUGUCGCCAGACGCAUUGCCGGGUAGCUAAGUGCGGAAGAGAUAAGUGCUGAAAGCAUCUAAGCACGAAACUUGCCAAGAGAUGAGUUCUCCCAAUCUAAGAGAUUGUAAGGGUUGUUGUAGACUACGACGUAGAUAGGUUUGGUGUGUAAGUGUAGUGAUAUAUUGAGCUAACAGAUACUAAUUGCCCGAGAGGCUUAACU